rnacentral:rRNA from 1 species
CCUACGGGUGGCAGCAGUGGGGAAUAUUGCACAAUGGGGGAAACCCUGAUGCAGCGACGCCGCGUGAGUGAAGAAGUAUUUCGGUAUGUAAAGCUCUAUCAGCAGGGACGAAAAUGACGGUACCUGACUAAGAAGCCCCGGCUAACAACGUGCCAGCAGCCGAGGUAAUGCGUAGGGGGCAAGCGUUAUCCGGAUUUACUGGGGGUAAAGGGAGCGUAGACGGCCGCACAAGUCAGAAGUGAAAGGCCUGGGCUUAACCCCGGGACUGCUUUUGAAACUUGCCGGCUGGAGUGCCGGAGAGGUAAGUGGAAUUCCUAGUGUAGCGGUGAAAUGCGUAGAUAUUAGGAGGAACACCAGUGGCGAAGGCGGCUUACUGGACUGUAACUGACGUUGAGGCUCGAAAGCGUGGGGAGCAAACAGGAUUAGAUACCCCUGUAGUC